rnacentral:lncRNA from 1 species
CUCUGGGGCUGCAGGAGCCCUUGUGGGGCCAUCCUGACCCAAACUCUCCUUGCAGGGCUCGCGGGGCUCGCCGGGAGCGGAGGGCGCAGAAGGAAAGCCUGGUACACAGGGCCCCCCAGGGAUCGUGGGCAGCCCAGGCAGGAGGGGACCUCUGGGAUUUGCUGGUUUGCCAGGAGGCCGUGGGCAUGCUGGAACUCCUGGAUCCAUAGUAAGGAAAUAGAAAAUGUUCCUCUGCAUGAACUGUGUGUGCUUUUCUAGGUGGGAUGUCAGUGGG